AACCCCUCCCAUCAGUGGAGGAACACCGAUCACAAGUUUCGUCCUGCAGUGGAGGCAAAGUGAAGCCGAACAGUGGAAGGAGAUUGCAGUCCCGGCCUCAGAUCCCCUAGCUAUCAACACCCUCAAGCCGUACACAUUGUACACAGUACGCUUGGCUGCCUUGAAUGCAGUGGGAGUGGGACAGUUCUCAGACACAAACGCCGUCCAAACCCAGGGAAUACAGGGUGAACCAGACAGUCCCGUUUUGUCGUCCAAUA